CGAGAAAGUCGGCUUGUUGAUUCCUGCUUCGGCAGGGGUAGGAAAGUCCGGACACCAUAGAGCAGCAAAGCGGAUAACAUCCGUCACCCGUGAGGGUAGGACAAGUGCAACAGAAAGCAGGUACAGUUCGGCUGUAGUGAAACCAGGUAAACUCUUUGCGGUGCAAUGAUAAGUAUAUCGGUUCUUUUCAGCAAUGAAAAUAGGGGCGGCUCGCUCUGAAAGCCGAGGGGUAAUCAGCUAAAGUAUUGCAGCAAUGCAGUACGCAGAUAAAUAACAGGCACUUCUUCGGAAGUACAAAAUCCGGCUUACAGAUUUUCUCGUGAU
rnacentral:RNase_P_RNA from 1 species